rnacentral:rRNA from 1 species
CCUACGGGAGGCAGCAGUAGGGAAUAUUGCUCAAUGGGGGAAACCCUGAAGCAGCGACGCCGCGUGGGGGAUGAAGGUUUUCGGAUUGUAAACUCCUUUUGUUAGGGAAGAUAAUGACGGUAUCUAACGAAUAAGCACCGGCUAACUCCGUGCCAGCAGCCGCGGUAAUACGGAGGGUGCAAGCGUUACUCGGAAUCACUGGGCGUAAAGGGCGCGUAGGCGGGAGAGCAAGUCAGAUGUGAAAUCCUAUGGCUUAACCAUAGAACUGCAUUUGAAACUGUUAUUCUAGAGUAUGGGAGAGGUAGGUGGAAUUCUUGGUGUAGGGGUGAAAUCCGUAGAGAUCAAGAGGAACACUCAUUGCGAAGGCGACCUGCUAGAACAUAACUGACGCUGAUGCGCGAAAGCGUGGGGAGCAAACAGGAUUAGAUACCCGUGUAGUC